CUGUCCAUAAUUUAUGAGUCAUUGAGGACAGCCAAUAAGAGCUUGAAAAUGUCCUGCAUUUUGUUUCUUAACAUAGUCAUCCAAAUUCUCAGCUGGGGCCCCCGUAACCGAAGCCAGAGUAACUAGAGAAAAGCACCCAGAUGUAUCUGAUGUAAGUUGGAUGUGACUCGGGAGCCUGAAGAAGGGGUGACCCCUGAGUUUUUCGGCCGGGCUGGACCAUGGGGGACGGUCCUGGAGAAAAAGGGAAGAGAGGAACAGACGAGAGCCACGCGGGGUGACCUGGGGGGACUUGGCGAGACCUGUUCUGCCCUCUCCUCCUCUCUUCCCUCCACCCUUGGCGAUAAGGCUGCUCCUUCCCCCCCAGUGUGGGAGGGGGUCACCUCUCACGUGACAGUUGCACAGGUUUUGGGGGAGGUUCAGAAAGUGCUUCCUGAAUGUGCUGUUUCUCAAAGUCCUUCAGCUUAAAAUAUUCAGCAUGCCAAGGCAUCAAAUUUGGGGGCAGCGUGUCCUGAACCCCUUCGAUAAACCACAUGCAAAAGUUCCCCUUCUGAGGCACUUUUUUUUGGGGGGGGGGGCCAUGCCCACAGCCUGUGGUUCCCAAGCCAGGGAUGGAGCACAAGGCACAGCAGUGACAUUGUGGGGUCCUCAGCCACGAGGCCACCAGGGAACUCCGCCCUUCUGCACGUGAAUUUUACAAACGCAUCCCUCGAUGGCUGGCACCUGAAGACAUUCAACUACAAAUUAUCCUUGAGUGUAAUUUGGUUGUUACUCUAAGUCUCACCCAGUCUUGGCCUCGGGGAGAGGGUAACUCUAGGGUCUAAGGACCUAGCGUUCUAGGUGCCCUCCUUGUAAGACCUGGCACGUUUGUCCUGAGUUCCCUCAGUCACACGGGUAGCCCUGCGCUCCCAGGAUAAGUUAAGUCCUUCCGUAACAGUCCUUUCCCAGACACGAAGCGCAAAGACACCCUGGCCGUCACCCAGCAUCAGAGCCGUGCUGUGAGGUAUCCUUGGGCGGGGUGCAGACUCCCUUUGCAGGGCUCGGGUGGGUUGACGUCUCAAGGACAAGCCCACUGAAGGGCCAUUUUCCAUCUCAUUGCAAUCGAGAGUGGGGUUGUUGGGGCGGGUCCGUCACGCUGAACUAGCGAUGGGGCCUCAGGGCUGCCUUGCGCCAAAGCUCAGCGGUGCCUCCGAGACCUUGAGGGCGGUUUUUGUUCCAGCGUGAAAUUAUUUCCAAGAGCCCAAUUCCAGAGUCCCCUCAUUUCCACGGCAGCGGUGUUACGUGUUUUUGCCAUUGUCUCAAAAGACUACGUUUAUUAGUCAAAGUAUUAGCAUCCAAAAGCACCAGCUCCAUCGCGCCUGUCCCAUUCCUGCAAGGGUUGCAUCUAAUUGGUCUCCUUCUGUCCUUGGAUGACCCCAAACGGGCUGCUUGGUAAACAGGCUCCAGGGGACCGGACUCCGAGUGUCAUGGUGUUAAUUAGCACCGUGGCGUCUGCCUUGGGGUUUGGGUGUGACCGAGACCCUCGCCUUGACCGGAGCUCUCGUCUCAGCCAGGCCCUGAUUUGUGUUGCCUCCGCUGUUUCCUUCUUAGCAUCAGUCGUUUGAGCCAGCAUCUCGUCUCUCGGUAUCUGACCGCCCUGGAUCUCCGUCCCCCGGCCCCGCAGGCGAUGUCCCGUCACCCUGGCUGACCUUCAGCAAAGACACCUGUGAGCUGGGUUCAGCCAGGCUCCCCCCGUUCCCUGAUGUUUCCUGUUAGUCAUUCUCCAGCCCCUGACUCCCACCCAGCUCCCACUUGUUGUACCUGGAACUGAGCCCAGUCUUUCCUACUGCAGGUUCCUACACUGACCUCAGUGGUGCUUCGUUUAUUUUAUUCAUUUUUAUUGAAGUAUUUGAAGUUAAUUUACAAUGUUCUGUUAAUUUCUGCUGCACAGCAAAGCGAUUCAGUUAUAAUAGGUAUACACUUUUUCUUUCCUGUAUUUUUUGGCUGCCCUGUGGCAUAUGGAGUUCUCAGGCCAGGGGUCCGAUCCGAGCCACAGUAGUGACCUAUGCCGCAGCUGCAGCAACACCAGAUCUGUAACGCACUAUGCGGGGCCAGGGAUCGAACCUGUGUCCCAGUGCUGCAGAGACACUGCCAAUCCCAUUGCAUCGCAGCAGGAACUCCAAUAUGCAUUCUUUUUAAAUAUUCUUUAUGGGUUUUUUUUGUUUUGUUUUGUUUUUGUCUUUUUGCCUUUUCUAGGCCCGCUCCCGCGGCAUAUGGAGGUUCGCAGGCUAGGGGUCGGUUGAAUUGGAGCUGUAGCCACUGGCCUACGCCACAGCCACAGCAAUGCCAGAUCCGAGCCGCAUCUGCAACCUACCCCACAGCUCACAGCAACGCCAGAUGGUUAACUCACUGAGCGAGGCCAGGGAUCGAACCCGCAAACCUCAUGGUUCCUAGUCGGAUUCGUGAACCGCUGCGCCACAGCGGGAAGUCCUCCAUUACGUUUUAUCGGCAGGAUACUGAAUAUAUCUCCCUGUGCUCUAUACUAGGACCUAUUGCUUAUCCAUUCUGUGUGUCAUAGCUUACACCUGCUAACCCCCAACUCCCUCUCCGUCCUCCCCUGCCCCCCUCCCCCUUGACAACCACAAGCCUAUUUUCUGUAUCCGUGAGUUCGUUUCUCUUCUGGAGAUACGUUCAUUUGUGUCAUAUUUUAGAGUCUACGUAUAAGUGAUAGCAUAUGGUAUUUAUCUUUCCCUUUCGGACGUACGUUGCUUAGCAUAAUAAUCCCUAGGUCCGCCCAUGUUGCUGUAAAUGGCAUUAUUUCAUAAUUUUUUUAUAGCUGAGUAGUCUUCCAUUGUAUGUAUGCACCAUGUCUUCUUAAUCCAUUCAUCUGUUCGUGGACAUGUAGGUUGUUGCCAUGUCUUGGCUGUUGGGAAUCGGGCUGCUGUGAACAUGGGGUUCGUGUAGCUUCUUGAAUAGUUGUUUCCAGGUAUAUGCCCAGGAGAUUGGUGGAUCACAUGGUAGCUCUAUUUUUAGUGUUCUGAGGCGCUUCCAUACUAUUUUCCAAGUGGCUGCACCAAUUUACAUUGCCUCCAACAGUGCAGGAAGGCUCCCUUUUCUCCACACCCUCUCCAGCCUGUGUUUGUUGUAGACUUAUUAACGAGGGCCAUUUGGACUGCCGUGAGGUGGUCCCUCAUUGUAGUUUGGAUUUGCAUUUCUCUAAUAAUUAGUGAGGUUGAGCAUCUGGUCAUGUGCCCAUUGGCCAUCCUUAUGUCUUUGGGUAAAUGUCUAUUUAGAUCUUCCACCCAUUUUUUGGUUGGGUUGUUUGUUUUGUUGUGGUUGAGCUAUAUGAACUGUUUCUAUAUUUUGGGAAUGAAGCCCUUAUGGGUUGCAUCAUUUGCAAAUAUUUUCUCCCAUUCUGUAGGGUGACCUUUUGCUUUGUUUAUGGCUUCCUUUGCUGUACAGAAACCUUAAGUUUGAUUAGGUCCCAUUUGUGCAUUUUUGUUUGUAGUUCUAUUACCUUGGGAGACUGAGCUAAGACAGCAUCGCUGUGAUUUAUAUCAGAGAAUGUUUUGCCUUUGUUCUCUUCUAGGAUUUUUAUGGUAUCAUGGGUUACGUUUCAUGGUGUGAGGGUGUGUUCUAACUUCGUUGGUUUACAUGUGACUGGCCAACUUUCCCAACACCAUUUUCCAGAGACUGUCUUUUUCUCUUUGUAUGUUUUUGCCCUCUUGGUUGUAGAUUAAUUGACCAUAGAUGUGUGGGUUUAUUUCUGGACUCUCUACUCUUUCAUUGAUCCGCAUGUCUGUUUUUGUGCCAAUACCAUGCUGUUUUGAUAACUGUAGCUUUGUAGUACUGUCUGAAUUCUGGGAGAGAUAUGCCUCCUGCGUUGUUCUUUUUCUUCAGGAUUGCUGUGGCAAUUCUAGGUCUUUUGUGAUUCCAUGUGCAUUGUAGGAUCAUUCUAAUUUUGUGAAGAAUGUCAUGGGUCAUUUGAUAGGGAUUGCAUUAAAUCUGUACAUUGCUUUGAGUAGUAUGUCCGUUUUCAGUACAAGAGCAUGGGGUACCUUUCUGUUUCUUUGAAUUCUUUUUAAUUGCCUUUAUUUAAUUGCCAAGUUUUCCACCUCCUUGUUCAGAUUUAUUCCUAGGUAUUUAAUUUUGGGGGGAUGCAAUUUUAAAAGGUACUGUUUUUUCAUAUUCCCCAUUUCUAUUUUUAAAUGUUUUAAUUAUUUUUUUAGGGCCACACCCGCAGCAUACGGAAUUUCCUGGGCUAAGGGUCGAAUCAGAGCUGCAGCUGCCAGCCUAUGCCACAGCCACAGCAAUGCCAGAUCCAAGCCAUGUCUGCAACCUACACUACAGCUCACAGCAACACUGGAUCUUUAACCCACUGAGCAGGGCCAGGGGUUCAACCCACAUCCAUGAGCGGGUUUGUUAUGUCUAAGCUACAGCAAGAACUCCCAUAUUCCUUUUUCAUGUAAGUAUACAGAAAUGCAAUUAGAUUUUUGAAUGUUAAUCUUAUAUCCUGCUACCUUGCUGAACUCAUUUAUUCAAGUAGUUUUUGUGUGUAGUCCUUAGCGUUUUCUAUGUAUAAUAUGUCAUCUGCAUAUAGUGACAGUUUUACCUCUUCCCUUCCAAUUUGGAUACCUUUUGUUUCUUUUUCUUGUCUGAGUGCUGUGGCUAGCACGUCCAAUCCUAUGCUGAAUAGAAGAGGUGAGCGUGGGCAUUCUUGUCUUGUUCUUUGACUUGAGGUCUUGGGGCUUCCAGGGAGAGCAGCCCUUUUUGGUCUUGAACCUGAUUAUGAGAGAAGCCAGCACGGGAGUCCUGUGCCCACAGGGUGUGGACUCAGACCCAAGGUCAUGGACUUGCCAAACAGGAGUCCGUAGGUUCAGAGGGGAUGGUGGUGCUGCCGGAAGGGCCGCUCCAGGCUUCCCACAUGCUUGAUGGCGUGUGAAGCUUCUAGAAUUGGACACAUCCACCCCACUGUCUGGAGGGCUCGGGGGCCAGGGUGUGUGCAGCUCGAUUCCUGAAUGACAGUGGAUAUCAGGCCAGCUGGACGUAUGGCAAAACCUCGGCACGAAACCUCCCACCUUCGCAGGUCUCAGUCCCGUGGAAUCCACGGCCACCAGCUGCCUGGCAAAGUGGGCCCAGGAAAUGUCCUGGCCUUGCCUAGCAGCAGGCUGCAAAGAUUCCACUGACAAGCAGCACGGCUCUGGUACACGGUGGGCGCUGCCACCUGUGUGGUGACUCUAGGGUCCAUCUUGGACAGUCCACCCACAUGGUUCUGCAAUGACACCUGCGACCAGGUGGGCAGGAGGUGGUGCAGGAGCUGUUUUGUUAGCUGAUGGCCAGUGUCUGGUUGAACUUAUUUCAGCCCCUUUCUCAACCUCUUUUUCCAUCCCCUUCGUGAAGUUUUUUUUGUUUUUUGUUUUUUUGCAAAUGAACAGCAGUUACUGUAUCACAAGGAGGAACCGCAACAUUUCGGCAGGGCUUCUGCGGCUGUGUCAGCAAAUCCGCCCCCCUUAGAAACCCACGUGGAUGCCCCCAUGUGCCAAUGCACUGGCUGUAAAGCCCCUGACAGCUCAGCUGUCCACUAAUGAAGAACUGUAAGAUAGUUCAUUUCCCGCCGCUGCCAAGAAUCCCCUGGUUUUCCAAAUUUGCCCUGCUGCAAACAGAACAGAUGUUUGUAUGUCUGGAGAUUUAAGUCCUGGACUGAGAGUGGUGGUCCCAGAAAUGCUGGCAGUUAACUGGGUUUGUGCUUAUUUCAUUCCAGGCAGGACCUAAGCUUCCAGGAUUCCAGGGGCACCCGUGGUGGCACAGGAAGUCUCAGUCAUUCUCAUCCCGCACAUGACCCAGCAGGGACCGUAAUUGAAUCUGAACACGGGGCAGCAACAUCAGGUGAGUCAGACUGUGUCUGGUGUCUUCCUCAGCUGCUGUUGUGUCGCCCGCCUGGCCGCUGACCUGGGCCAUCACCCUGAUGACGCUGGUCCACAGUGAGCCGCACAGAGCGGGGUCCCACACUCUUGAGAGAGGGUUCUCAUGACACGUGGGGCAUGCAGAUAAAUCCCAUGACCCAAAGAGGGCUUGAGUCCUUUCAACACGUGCGUCCGCUGCUGCAGCUCUGAGGAUAAAUCCAGAAGCCCUGGGAAGCAGGAUGGGGCCUGGAGUCUGAGGCUGACUUUGUUUUCCUAGCAAAUCAUGUGGAAUUUUUUUUUCUUCAAUAUGUGGACUCCUCAGAGCUUGGGGAGAGAUUCCAGGCAAACACAACCAUUCAGAAGCUUCUUCAGGUUCUACGGAUCGAAUCUGAGGGUUUAGACUCUUAUCAAUCAAUUGGUCCUUUUGAGGUUUUCGCCUUUGCCUGCAAAAGCUGGAAUCCACUAUGGAAAAUCUACAAAUUCCCCCACUUGUCUAAGUUCCUCCUCUGCCAGAGGGUGUUUCAUCUGCAAAGGUGGCCAACUCCUAGAGGCCAGCAUUCUGUGGUCUUCCCUGGCAGCUUCCCUGAGUAUUUGACCUCAGACUGGCGAUCCUGCAGUGUGUCUAGUGAGGUCUGGGUCUCUGCCGGGCGGGGGAGGAAAUGUAACAAACUGGAGCAUCAAUUUCGUGUGACUGUUUAGUUUCCAAGGCUGCCAGUAAAUCAUCUACAUAUUGAAUAAUUUCGGAUUCUCCCACAGGGCAGAUUUUCCUAAGCUGUGCUGUCAAAGUCUAGACAAAACACUGGGAGUCCCGAAAAAUGUUGGGAACUGUUCGCUAUAAAUGCUGAACUCCUGCAUAGGUAGAAAGCCAAUGAAAAUGUGGACCCAUGAGUUAGAGGGACAGAAAAGAAAAAAAAAAGGAAAAAGCAGAACGCAGGUUGACUGCAGAGAACAAGUUUGCAGGUGACAGAAUUGACGUCAGAAAGAGCUGCAGAAUUAAAGGGAUGAGGCAGCAGAGAGCAGAACAGUGAGCCCCGUGACCUCUCUGAGACCUGCUACGGAUCUGCACAGUGGCCAAACUUCUCUCCAAAAUGUUGACAGGGCGUUGGGAGUAUGACAGCAUGAGUGUCUUAUUAAAAAUUGUCCCUGUUUCUCUGAAUUUUUUAAAUAACUGGUUUGAUUUCCUCGAAUUGGGCCCUUGGCAAAGCAUAGGGUUUACACAUGGCCUUGGGUUCCCACCCCCGACUCCCUGGGAGCAGUUUUUAUUGGUCCUUUAUCUUCGGUUAAACCAGCAUCAUUAUUCCUGGGGGCCCAAGAGGUGCAUGGACCUGCCUCGGCCAGGACUCUUUUCCAGCAUGGGUGCCACCACCCCACCCACUGCUCUCUUCUGUCCCAGGCACCGGGUGACCAGGUCAGGCUCUGUGACAUUCUCACCCAUCCAGACUAGGGCAGCAGGGGGGGCUCUCCCCACGGAUUUGUACUAGAAACCUGUAAAGAAAGCAGGACUGUCUUUCCUCUGUCAGAGGACCUGACUGCGUGGGGAACUCUGACAAAGACAGACUGUUGAAAAGAUUCUAUUGUUGUGGAUGGAGUUGUUUUAACGUGUUAAUUAGGUCAAUGUUGAUAGUGUUGCCAAGUCUGUAUCUCAACUGAUUUUGAACCUACUGGCUUAUCAGAUACUGAGAGAGGAAGGCUGAACCGCUAGCUCUCAGGUGGACCUGUCUCUGCCUCCAUGCUUCCUGAAUUUUGAAGUUCUGCUCUCUAGGUGCAUCCAUUAUAGAAAUGUUCAGUCGUCUUCUGAAUGCAGCGUGAUAGCGUUUUUAUCUGUAACUCUGGUUAUCGUCCUUUUGAAUCCCCUUUGUCUGACAUUAAUAGCUCCUCUAGGAGUUCCCUGGUGGCCUAGUUGAUAAGGAUCCAGUGUUGUUGGUGCUGUGGAUCAGGUCACUGCUGUGGCACAGGUUCGAUCCCUGGCCCAGGGACUUCCACAUGCCAUGGGCAUAGCCAAAAAAUAAAAAUAAAAAAAGCUACUCCAGCUGUGUUUGAUUCAGUCGUUGCGUGGAAUAUCUUUCAUCAUUCCUGGACUUUUAAGUAUCUCUGUCUUUAUACUGAAAGUGAUUUCUUAGGGGCAGCAUAUGUUUUGCUUUUUUCACACGUUCUCAUAGUAUCUGCCUUGUGUUUGCAGCAUUUAGGUCAUUUACGUUUAAAAUAAUUGCAAUAGGAUGUGUCUUUGUGUGAUUAUUUUUCUUUAUGGUUUCUGUGGUUAGGGUGUGGUGAGCGUCUUGCAUCUGUUCAUUCCCAUCAGUUUGAAAAAUUUCAGGACAUUACUCUUCAAAGUUUUCUGCUCCAGGAGUUCCUGCUGUGGUGCAGUGGGUUAAGGAUUUGACUGCAGUGGCUCAGUUCUCUGCAUGGGCAUGAGUUUGAUGAUUGAUCCCUGGCCUGGAGCAGUGGGCUAAAGGUCUGGCAUGGCUGCAGCUGAGAUGUGGGUCACAGCUCUGGCUC
rnacentral:lncRNA from 1 species